AGCAGUAGCCGCGGUAAUACGAAGGGGGCUAGCGUUGCUCGGAAUUACUGGGCGUAAAGGGCGCGUAGGCGGACAGUUUAGUCGGGGGUGAAAGCCCGGGGCUCAACCUCGGAAUUGCCUUCGAUACUGGCUGUCUUGAGUGUGAGAGAGGUGUGUGGAACUCCGAGUGUAGAGGUGAAAUUCGUAGAUAUUCGGAAGAACACCAGUGGCGAAGGCGACACACUGGCUCACUACUGACGCUGAGGCGCGAAAGCGUGGGGAGCAAACAGGAUUAGAUACCCGAGUAGUCCCUGUCUCUUAUAC
rnacentral:rRNA from 1 species